AAGGAAGGGGGGAGGCCUAAACAUGCACCUCGAACGGUAACAGGAAGAAGCUUGCUUCUUUGCUGACGAGUGGCCCCCUUAAAGAGUAUGUCUGGGAAACUGCCUGAUGGAGGGGGCUUUCAACUGGAAACGGUAGCUAAUACCGCAUAACGUCGCAAGACCAAAGAGGGGGACCUUCGGGCCUCUUGCCCUCCGAUGUGCCCAGAUGGGAUUAGCUAGUACGUGGGGUAACGGCUCACCUAGGCGACGAUCCCUAGCUGGUCUGAGAGGAUGACCAGCCACACUGGAACUGAGACACGGUCCAGACUCCUACGGGAGGCAGCAGUGGGGAAUAUUGCACAAUGGGCGCAAGCCUGAUGCAGCCAUGCCGCGUGUAUGAAGAAGGCCUUCGGGUUGUAAAGUACUUUCAGCGGGGAGGAAUGGAGUAAAGUUAAUACCCUUGCUCAUUGACGUUACCCGCAGAAGAAGCACCGGCUAACUCCGUGCCAUCAGCCGCGGUAAUACGGAGGGUGCAAGCGUUAAUCGGAAUUACUGGGCGUAUAGCGCACGCAGGCGGUUUGUUAAGUCAAAUGUGAAAUCCCCGGAAUCAACCUGAGAACUGCAUCUGAUACUGGAAUGCUUGAAUCUCGUACAGGGGGGGUAGAAAUCCAGGUGUACCGGUGAAAUGCAUAUAGAUCUGGACGAAUACCGGUGGUUAAGGCGACCCCCUGGAAGAAAACUGACUCUCAUUUAGCGAAGCCUGGGGCACAAAUAUGAUUAUAUCCCCUUUUUAUUCUCCCCCUUAUACUAUGUUCUAUUUU
rnacentral:rRNA from 1 species